AAGAUUUUAAGUUAAAAAAACUAAUAACCUUCAAAGUUAUAAAUAUAAUAAAAAUUUUAAAUCUUA
rnacentral:tRNA from 1 species